CGAAACCGUACGAGGUGGAGGCGAAUCACAAAACUACGGUCUCAGUUNAGAUUGCAGGCUGCAACUCGCCUGCAUGAAGUUGGAAUUGCUAGUAAUCGCGAAUCAGAAUGUCGCGGUGAAUACGUUCCCGGGCCUUGUACACACCGCCCGUCACACCAUGAGAGUCGAUAACACCCGAAGCCUGUGAGCUAACCUUUUAGGAGGCAGCAGUCGAAGGUGGGGUUGAUGAUUGGGGUGAAGUCGUAACAAGGUACC
rnacentral:rRNA from 1 species